AUUGAACGCUGGCGGCAGGCCUAACACAUGCAAGUCGAGCGGAUGACGGGAGCUUGCUCCUUGAUUCAGCGGCGGACGGGUGAGUAAUGCCUAGGAAUCUGCCUGGUAGUGGGGGACAACGUUUCGAAAGGAACGCUAAUACCGCAUACGUCCUACGGGAGAAAGCAGGGGACCUUCGGGCCUUGCGCUAUCAGAUGAGCCUAGGUCGGAUUAGCUAGUUGGUGGGGUAAUGGCUCACCAAGGCGACGAUCCGUAACUGGUCUGAGAGGAUGAUAAGUCACACUGGAACUGAGACACGGUCCAGACUCCUACGGGAGGCAGCAGUGGGGAAUAUUGGACAAUGGGCGAAAGCCUGAGCCAGCCAUGCCGCGUGUGUGAAGAAGGUCUUCGGAUUGUAAAGCACUUUAAGUUGGGAGGAAGGGCAGUAAGCUAAUACCUUGCUGUUUUGACGUUACCGACAGAAUAAGCACCGGCUAACUCUGUGCCAGCCGCCGCAGUAAAAC
rnacentral:rRNA from 1 species